UGAGCAAUCUGCCCUUCUCUUCGGAAUAAAGACGUGAGAAACCGCGUCUAAUGCCGAAUACGACCUCCUUUCGCAUGAUCGGAGGUGGAAAGCUCCGGCGGAGAAGGAUGAGCUCGCGGCCUAUCAGCUAGUUGGUGUGGGUAAUGGCUCACCAAGGCGACGGACGGGUAGCCGGCCUGAGAGGGUGACCGGCCACACUGGGACUGAGAUACGGCCCAGACUCCGUAGGGA
rnacentral:rRNA from 1 species